rnacentral:lncRNA from 1 species
UUUUUUUUUUUUUUUUUAAACUUGCAGCAGGAGAACUGUGUCAGUUUCUGGGUCUAGAGAUGGAUAAACACAGAUUUAGAGAAAGGUGGAAACUUUCUUAUUCCCCGGUUAUAGAACCAGCACCAGGGGGAAUGUCUUACCUCAUCCUAAAACCUUGCAUUCCCUGUCCUUGCUUUCUGGCUGGCCCUCAGCAGUGCCUGCGCACGACCCCGAGGAAUACACGUGGUUCCCCAGACACAUCGCCUCCUCCUCCACAGACCUCACGCUGGAGGAAGCACAGGGGUCGACUUUGCAGCUCGGGAAACUCCUCUCUCAGUCUGCAGACCACCGGCCGUGCUCCAGGCCCCUGACACGUAUAAUCUGGAAUAUUCCAAGAACUUGUGUUCUUAGUGCUCUGUCCUCAUUGUCCAAAGCCCCAGUCGUAUAGUGUAUAUCAUGAGCCCUGAUGUCUUCUAUAUGUUAGAAGUUCAUUCAUAAUAUUUAGUGCCAGUUUCUUGAGUUCUUUCGAUCUGUAAGGAUCUAUCCCUUAUUUUCUAGGAUUUUACCUUUGUUGUGUUAUCCUAACUUUCCUAUUUUGAACUGGACUUGAGUCAGGUAUCUGUGUAUGUGUGUGCUUCGGAUUUGUGUAUCUGUCUGUAUGCUUGUGUGUGUGUCCGAGUGUCUUUGUGUAUCUGUGCCUCUGUGUGUCUCUGUGUCUGGGCACAUUUUUGUCUGUGUGUCUGUGGUCUGUGGAGGGGGUGCUGUGUGGGUCUGUGUGUGUCUGUGGCAGGGCGUGUGGAACCUUCACCUGGGGAUAAGACCAGAGACUGUAAAACACCCAGAGGUGUCAUGGAGAUUUUCUGCAUGAUUGUCUGGUGAACUGAAAUGUCACCGAGUUCCCCAAACAGAUAUUCUGCUGCAGUCAAACACACAAAGAAACGCUCAGCAAGGUACUAUUUUCUCAGUCCCAAGAAGGGCUAACAUCUCCCAGUGGGGUAAAUGGUAAUGGAUCAGAUGACAAUAUAGCACCGUGGUUUUCUUAAGAGAAAAAUGCUCUGGAAAAUUAACACUUGGGGACAAUAUAAAGACGAACACCCUUGAUCCUUGGCCCUGGAAGGGCAGAGGGACUCUGCACAUACACGGGCUGCUCUGAAUCUCAAAUAAUUGAUUUCUCAGAUGUGGGAAUAUUGCCGCCACCAGCAGGCUCCAGGAGAGCAGGGCUAAUUGCACGGUGUCAGAUGGUGGGUGUGUCAGUGGAAAAAUUUUAAGGCGCACAUCAGCACGGCUUUCUGCAGCAUAAUAGGCACUGAUUAGCCAGCCCCGUGGUGGGCAAUGGUGUGCUUCGCUGCCGACUGUGAGCUGUGAGCACCGAGGCCAACCUGAGCUGCAGAAAAACACAAAGGGGCCUGAGGAGCCGGUGGCUGCACACCCGGUACUUUCCCUGGGGGGUUAGCUCUUGCUCUGAAAAGAGGUGGGUGGGGAGCAGGAGAGCCCCUCCGGCAGGCUGCUUGGAUGCCUAAUGGUCACAUUCUGGUGUGAAAGGAGGUUGGUUUCUGCAUUCACUGGAUUCCUAGAGGCGGGUCAUUCUACACCUGGGUGGGGUCCUCUGAGACCACCCAGACAGCCUCAGUUCCCAGGCAGGACUGUCCCUCAGCUACCCAGUGUCCUUGAUAUACCUGGAGAGUGGGGCUGCCCUGUGGUUGUUAUUGCUUCCAUCCCAGACAAGGGGUCCUGACUUCCCCGUAUUAUAAUCGUUCUGUGUGGCGUGGGACCUGUGUGUGACAGUGGACGGGGGGCUGACUGCUUUCCUUACCUGUCUUGGACAUCAUGUCACCUGGUCAUGCAUACUGCUUCCUAUGUCGGCUUUUUUUUUUUUUCUUUCCCCUUUCCUGAUUCAUUCCAUGCUUUCCUUUUCCAGAGCUUUUGCUGCUAAACCAGGCUGUCAUGCCCAUAGGCCAGCAUUUCAGGCUCCAGAAAUUAGCAAAGCCAGGACCUGAAACUGUCAGAACAGGAGUUCCCGUUGUGGCUCAGCAUCCAUGAGGAUGAAGGUUUGAUCCCUGGCCUCACUCAGUGGGUUAAGGAUUGGGUGUUGCCAUGAUUGGUGGUGUAACUCGCAGACGCAGCUUGGAUCUGGUGUGGCUGUGGCUGUAGUGUUGGCCAGCGGCUACAGCUCUGAUUUGACUCCUAGCCUAGGAACUUCCAUAUGCCCUGGGUGCGGCCCUGAAAAGUCAAAAAACAAAACCAAAAACAGACAGCCAGGAGUUCCCGUCGUGGCUCAGUGGCUAAUGAAUCCAACUAGGAACCAUGAGGUUGCAGGUUUGAUCCCUGGCCUUGCUCAGUGGGUUAAGGAUCUGGCAUUGCCAUGAGCUGUGGUGUAGGUUGCAGACGCGGCUUGGAUCCCACAUCAAUGUGGCUGUGGUGUAGGCUGGCAGCAACAGCUCCAGUUAGACCCCUAGCCUGGGAACCUCCAUAUGCCGUGGGAGUGGCCCUAGAAAAGGCAAAAAGACAACCAAACCAAACCAAAGCAAAACAACUGUCAGAACAGAGCUCCUCAAACAACAGGUGUCGGAUCUGCUCCCUCUGCCUGUCAGGCUCAUCGUGCCUGUGCCCUCUGCCUCCACGGCCCCAUUUCCCCUGCUCCCCAAACAGAACUUCUCAUGCUGAUAGGCCAGGUCAUUUAUCUCUCGUGUACGCAUGCUGCGAUUUCUAUUUUGUGUCUCUGUUCCUGCUUCUGUAGCCCAUUCUUGGAAUCCCGGCUUCUGUACUCCCUUCAGUGAAGGCUACGACAAACGAUUUCUCUCCCUUAAAACUGGCUUUCCUGAAAAGUCAUCUGAUUGGCUUACAGGCUACGACUACUGUGGAGUCCCUCUGCCCCCAGGGAUUGAGGACAAAAGCCCCCACCCUGAUUAACCCCCUGUAAAAACCCGGGCUCUCCUACGUAACCUAAACCUCAGCUUUCUCAUCCAUGAUACAGAAGAAACGUCAGUGUUUUUGAGAGGAUUUAAUGGGGUAAUUUACAUAAAAUGAAGGACCCAGGGUGGGUUAUCAAGAAACAGUACUAAUUACUAUUAUUGUUUUUAUGGUUUAACCAGUCUUCUUAUCCAAGUUUUUAUAGCACUUCCAUACACAGGUUCUCCUUUAUUAUUGGUCAUUAGGGAAAUAUUCACAGAUAGAGAUUCACUGAAGCCUUAAGAGUCCAAUACAGGAUCACAUCCUUUGACUGGUCCCCACUUACCUCCCCCAAAUCACAUAGUGUUUUACUAUACUUGGGGUCAACCUUCAAUAAAUAGUAGAAAGAGUGUCUGAUAUUAAAAAUCCAGAAAUGGAAAAUCAUACUCUAUUUUUGUUGCUUAUUCAAGAAUUUUUUCCAUUCAUGCUCUUUUAUCUUGUCUUCUUUUUCUCAGAUCCUUAAAAAAACUGGGGACAGAGAUGAUUUGAGUAAAUUUAAAAAUUCAAAUAUUCAAUAUGUAAGCCAGUCUUCUUUUUUUUUGGGGGGGGGUCUUUUUGUGUUUUUAGGGCUGCACCCAGGCUAGGGGUCUAAUCGGAGCUGUAGCCACCAGCCUACACCAAGGCCACAGCAACACCGGAUCCAAGUGCACCUGCGACCUACACCACAGCUCACAGCAACACCAGAUCCUUGACCCGCUGAGCGAGGCCAGGGAUCGAACCCAUGACCUCAUGGUGCCUAGUCAGAUUAGUUUCUGCUGCACCACGAUGGGAACUCCACCAGUCUUCUUUUUUCCUUGAAUCCUUCCACAUUUUUAAUCCACAUCUUUAAAAUUAGGAUUUUAAAUUUUCAUAAUAAGUUGAAAAAAAAUUAAUCCAAACAGUCCUUAUAUGUUUUUACUUUUUGCAUUCCAUUUUAUUUAUUUUGAUUAAAGUAGAGUUGAUUUACAAUGUUGUGCCAAUCGAUGCUGUACAGUAAAGUGACUCAGUCUUACAUAUAUGUACCUUCUUUUUUUUUAAUGUUAUUAUCAUGGUCUAUCCAAGGAGAUUGGAUAUAGUUCCUUAUGCUAUGCAGUGGGACCUUAUUGUCUAUUCCUCAUUAUUUUUAAAUGACAAUAGCAUAAUAAUCACUGUGAUGUGAGGUGAUCUAACACAGUACAUGUUUUUCUUAGUCUUGAAUUGUGUAGUCCGAGUCCUCGCUACCCUUGAGGUGGCCGUUGUGCUUCUGGAAUCUCCUAUGUGAUGAAUCAAAAUGAUAGGAGAAAAUCACAGUCCAUAUGAAUCAAGCCCUUCACAUGCACUGUGCCCGAGGCCCUCCAAGAUGGCUUUAGAUAUGCAAAAGAUUUAUUGAGAACAUAACUGAAGGAUAAAGAAGAAACAGCAAGAGCCUUUAAAGAGCAGUGCAGGAGAUUGGGCAGGAGGAAUCUCAAUGGUAGGCAGGCAAGAUUCCAGCCAGGAUGAGGGGAGUCCUUAAGCCAAACUUGUCCACCAAGGUGUUCCCCAGCAUGGGUCUCCAUUAGUUGAGGAAAUCAACAGUUGGGACCAUCAGUUAGUUAAGCUCCCUGCAAGGGGAGAUCUGAGUGGCAUGUUUCCAUGGCAGCCACCUGCACAACCUCAAUCUCACAAUAGAUUAAAAACCAGAGAGGUUAUACAACGUCCCUAAAGUCCUACAGCUAACGAGUGACAUAGCUGGUUUUUAAUGCAAGUGGUCAGAUUUCAGAGCCUAUUAACAGGUAGGUUUGUAGGUAGCUAGCUAGCUAUGCCAGUGUAUUUAGGAAACAAAGUAAAUGUGGUAGAUAUGAAGUACAGGAUUAUCAAAUUCAAGAUGCAAGGGAUUCUGUUCCUUUCAUACAUGUCAUAAAGCAUUCUGAAUCUUUCAAAUCAGUCAUAGGAAGUCCUGAUCAUUACUUUGGGAGAGUGCCUUGUAUGUUUCAAUAUAGAUAGCUUUACCAAAUGUUGAAAAAUCUGGGAAGAAAAUAAUACUUGUCUCCUUGUGUGUGUGUGUGUGUGUGUGUGUGUGUGUGUGUGUAUUUAAAAUCAUCUGCUUGCCUAGAUGCUAAAUCAUAAUAUUUUAUUCUUCACAUAAUCUCUUGAAAUGAUGCUCUCUUUUAUCAACCAGUUUCUUUUUGAAAAUUCUUUCUAUGGCUUGAUCCUUCAAGGGUAUCAAUAAUAGCCUCAGGUUUUUGUUUUUGUUUUUGUUUUUCCUCUCUCCUUUAUUACUUGAUAUACUCCUGUUGCCUUCUUGUAUUAGGAUGUUAGGAUAAGCUAGGGCAAAAUAACAAAGAAACCCAUACAUGGACGUAGUCAGACUGACAGACAUGUUCUCUUCCAUGUGAUCACACAGGGAUCCAAGCUCUCUCCAUCUCACGGCUACUCCUAUGGGGAAGAUUCAUGGUGGUCCACAGUUGGUGAAUUUUUAAUGGAUCAGACCAAGAAGUGGCACGCACCAUUCUUGCUUACAUCUUGUUCAGGGUCCUAAUCGUGUAAACACAUCUAAUUGCAUGAAAGCUUAGGGACUUAGUCUAGCCUUAAGCCCCAAGGACACAUUAACAGUCUUUGGCUAGUGAGCUGAUAGUCUCUGCCAAGGCAUAUAGCCUGUUCUUGUGAUCUCUUCAGUACUCCAAUUUCUAUCAAUUAGGAUCACCUUCCACUUUAGCCUUUGUAGUUUUAGACAGAUUCCAAAGGCCUUUCUCCACAUAGUUGAAGCCUCCUUUCAACAUCUGGAUUGAAAAAUUGUGACUCUGACUCAAGCCACCAUGGGGCUGCCCUACUCAUCAGGGCUAGCUACUACGUUUGUUUGAUCAAGUUACUCCAGAAAAUCUUGCUUAGUCAGAAAAAUUGCUCACUCAGAAAUGCCCAAAAUAGGGGCAAAAGACUUAGCUCCCCCUUUAAUUGACCGCCUAGCUCCCCCUUUAAUUGACCGCCUUUCUUCUUGAGGAUAUUUUGUAAGGUACCAAUAUGACCACGACGUGGUCAGGAUAAGGACGGUCUCCCUAUCAUGACAGGAACACCACAAAUGUUGUAGUUGCUGUGUGAUUCAGUAGAACGAAACCCAGGUGGGAAAUUAGGGAAGAGCGGAGCUGGUUUUGGAUCUGUCACUUUGUCAUGGAAAUUUUGACAACUGAUCUCUCUUAGCUCAUGUAAAUCCCUCUCAUCUGUACAUGGGCAUCAUGUCCUCUGGUUUCACAGAAUUAGGGUGGGUGAGGUAUGUGAAUAUACUUUGAACACUAUGACUCAGGUGCCAAGGCAUGGCAAUCCUUGUUCCAUUCACAUCAGAAGAUAAGAGGUAAACCUUUGCAGAGUUCCUAAUUUUCUCAGGUCUUAUAAAAGGCAGGAUAGAGUGAUAAGAGUGAAUCAGGAGCCAUAAGUUCAAGAUUAACAAAAAAAGAAGAAGAAAAAUAGAAUAAAAGAUCACAGAUUUUGGCUCAAAGAAAAUAUGAACACAAUUGCAAAGUUAAACAGCUUGCCAGAGCUGAGAGGGUGCUACAGAUAAUCAGUGUGGUGUGGACUGAAUUAGGAGAUCCUUGGGUUGUAGUCCUUGCCUUGAAGUAACCAGCCCUGCUGGAACUGCCAAUUCCAUAGUGAAUUUCUCAGGUGUACCCCUGGCUUUCAAAAACUUAGUACGGAUUUCUUUAAAGGACCUGGACCCUUAGAAUCAUGAGGACAGGUAUGAGGCCAGCUUAUGAUUUUGUAUGAAAACCG